GUGGAGCCCCCAGCCAAGAAGCCAGCCACACCAGCAGAGGAUGAUGAGGACGAUAACAUGGACCUGUUUGGCAGUGACGGUGAGGAGGACAAGGAGGCAGCACUGGUGGUCAAGUCCUCCAUCCUCCUGGAUGUCAAGCCUUGGGACAAUGAGACGGACAUGGCCCAGUUGGAGGCCUGUGCACGCUCCAUCCAGCUGGACAGGCUGGUCUGGGGGGCCUCCAAGCUGGUGCCCAUGGGCUACGGUAUCCAGAAGCUGCAGAUUCAGUGUGUGAUGGAGGACGACAAGUUGGGGACAGACUUGCUGGAAGAGGAGAUCACCAAGUUUGAGGAGCAUGUGCAGCCUGUCAACAUCACAGCUUUCAACAAGAUC
rnacentral:lncRNA from 1 species